UUCGAGGCAGGGGAACCCAUCACACAACACUUUCAUGUUCCAAUCCUUGUAAGCGUAUUCAGAUACCUUGAGAAACUGCAGCUUCGGCAGCUUACCCAAUUUUGGCAUCGGAUCCUCAUAUAGCUUUGCAAUCUCAAUGUAAGGUGAGUAAGAUUUGGAGGAAUUACUCGCAUCAGGACAUCGAGCAUCCAGCCACCGUCCAGUUUGAGUUUAGUGAUGCUGCCGAGCUGGGGAAUGAUGUGUGUGCUGAUCACACAAGCUUGAUUGAAUUUUAGGUGUAGCUCCACAAGAUUCGUCAUCUUUUCCAACGACGCUCUCGCCAUGCUCAAAUCGUUGUUUUCUUCUAUUUCGCUCAUAUAUAUGCUCAAUUCCCGAACAUGACGGCUUGCCAUUAAUUUUGGGCUGCAUUCUAGCCAAUCCUUUAGCCUCAUGCCUUUCACACUCUCAAUAUUUCUCCAAUUCUCAAUGCUCAUUGGUUUGCCCCAGGCACUGUAUAUGUGGAAGUGACGUAGUUUUUCCAUUUGCAGUGCAACAUUCGGGAACACUAUGAGCUCAUUCUCUACAUCAAGAACCUCGAGGUCUUUUAAGUCAUUCAACCAGCUUGGGAGCUCCAGUACGCAAUCCAUCAAAUAUUGUGGUCUGUGUAUUCUCAAGUACUUCAAUCCAAUCAAUAGUCGAAAAGAGUCGGGCAAUCUUUGAAACGCAAAGCCGUCAAGGUCAAGCAUCUUAAGGAGUUGAAAGCGCUUCCAGUAACGAGAUGGUGUAGUCAAAUAAACUUUACUACUACCACCAUUGACGUUAAGUAGGAAAAGAGAGCGAAGAUGCUUAUUCUGACCCCGUGAGAAGGCCUCGAGGUUUUUGCCAUAGACAACACGAUGACGAGGUUUAUAUGAGGAUUGUGAUGAAGAACCCUCCUCCCCGUUUACAAUCUCCAAGCCUAUUUCCUCCUUUGCUUUUCUUAAACAUACCUCGCGAAGAAGAUCAUGGAGGCGACAAGUCCUUACCCGAUUAUCAAUGGUUAGAUCUCAACUUGAAGCAUGCUUCGAUUGAUCAACUCAUUUAAACAACCUCUUGCUAUCUCAUCUGUUGUUCUGGUUCCUUCCUGUUGGAUCAAGCCUUGUCCAACCCAUAUAUUUAUCAGCCUUUUUGUAGGGAUAGUAGAGUCUUCCUUGAAAAAAGCUAAGCACAAGAAGCAUGAUUUCAGCUGCGGAGACAAAUUGUGAUAACUCAACUCCAAAAUUGUUGGUACGCUGCUUUCAGUCCUUUCCAAAUAAGAGUUUAUUUGGUUAAGAACUUGUUCCCACAUGCACCCACUAUUGCUUUGUGUUUCCCAGAGUAGCCCUCCUACCACACUGAUAGCUAAUGGUAGACCAUGACAUUUUUCCACGAUUUGUCUGCCUAUGCUCUCAAACUCUUCUGGAUAUUUUCCAUUAGUAUUUCUAAUGAAUGCAUUCUUCAACAGCAACUCCCAGCUCUUCUCGCGAUCUAGAAGCUUCAUCACGUGCACAUAUUGAUCAUACUUUGUAACAAUCUUGUUGCGAGUCGUAACCAAUAAUCUACUUGUUUUAUCUGUGAAAGAAGAGGCAAUUAAGUAUAAGAAGAUGAGUUGAGAGACGAGGGAUUGGAGCCCAAAGUUUUUACACGAUAAUAACUUUGGUUGGUUUGCAAAUGUAGGGCAAAAAUUUUUGGUUUCCAAUUGUAGGAAAAGAUUUCAAAAAUUCAGCAUAAGUAUGACAAAUUGAGCCCGAAAAAAUAAUUUGUCCUGCUAUUACAAGCCCUAUUUAUUUUUCCUGCAUUUACAAAAUUGUCAAAGUUAUGGGCCUAAAAAAGGAAUAGAGGAAAGAUAAUUUUUAAAAAAUUUAAUGUUUAAAUAAAUAUAACUUUUACAUUUUGAAUCAAAUAUUUACAUAAAAUAUAUCAAAUUAAAGCUCUUAUUUGAUAUGCAUAUUAAAUAUUUUUUAAUUAGUCGAAUUUCACAUUUAAAAAGAAACAAAACACAAAAAUAAAAACAUAAUAAAGGAUAUAAAAAGAAAAAAUACUUUUAGAAAUAAGGAAUAUAUUUUAGGCCCGUAACUUUGGCCGUUUUGCAAAUGUAGGAUAAUUUUUUUGGGCUUGCAAUUGCAGGACAAAUUGUUUUUUCAGGCUCAAUUUAUCCUACUUUUGUCGAAUUUUUUAAAAUUUUCACUACAAUUGUAAGUCCAAAAAAUUUUGUCCUACAUUUGCAAAACGGCCAAAGUUACUGUCUUUUCUCAGGGAUUCGUUCAGCUUACAAAGAACAUGAAUACUAAGUAUAUUUUGCAUUUCAAGUUAUGUAUGCAACAAUAUUUAUCAUUUUCAAGUUUUUUUAAUCAAGUAUUGGGUCAUUUAAAAAAAAUUAUAUGAUCAUACACUAAAACUAAAGAACAACCAAUAUAUAUAUUUAGGGCUAGCUAGCUCGUUUGGCUGACAAUAUAAAUUAAGCUUGAUAUGUUUAAUUGAGAUGUCUUGAUAUUGUAUAAGAUAAAACUAAAGUAUCAAUAUUAUGUUUGAUUAUAUGUAUUAAAUUAUCUGUUUUAUAAAUAAAUUAUAGUAGGAGAGUGAAAUUAUGGUAGUUUAAUCUAUUAUUAAUUAAAUUAAUAAAUAAUAUGAUUAGGUUUUAUAUUACAUGUCGCACCUAGAAGAUGGUAUAUUCAGAAUCUCAAAAAUCUAUAUAAUACAUAUCAAACUCUAGCUUUAUAAAGGACCUCGUGUUUUGAAGCAAACAUGAUACUCCCACCGUCUUUUUAAAAGUGGCUAAUUUCUUUUGGACGCGGAGAUUAAGAGAAGUGUACAAAUUGGAUAAAAGUGACAUGGUCCACACCUUUUCAAAAAUCAAAUGUUGUCUUUUAUGAAAAUUGGCCACUUUUAGCGGGACAUGCCAAAAUGAAAACGAGCUACGUACUUUAGCGGAACAAAGUGAGUAUUAGAAUGUCAUAGGUAUAUUAUACGUCCCUAAUCACCCUUAUCAAACAAACCCAAGUGUUGUGAAUUAUAUAUAUAUAUAUAUAAUAGUAGGAGUAGUUACUUGGAGGAGUUGGGGAGGGGGAGCAGUGUAGUUUGAACCCGGGACCUCACUGUUCACACACAGGAGUACUUCUAUAAUUUUCUUUUCCAAAAUUUUUUAGUCAUUAUAAAUUUCAGUCAAUCUAUAUAAUUGGGACACAUGAAGUAUUUGAUAAAAAGUACACGUGUACAUAAUUCGUCUCAUAGUUAUAUUAUUCAUUUAAAUGAAGACACACACACACACAAAUAUCCAAAUUCCCACAGCAACGUUAAUAACCAUCAAUUUAUGAAUCCAUUAACANNNNNNNNNNNNNNNNNNNNNNNNNNNNNNNNNNNNNNNNNNNNNNNNNNNNNNNNNNNNNNNNNNNNNNNNNNNNNNNNNNNNNNNNNNNNNNNNNNNNNNNNNNNNNNNNNNNNNNNNNNNNNNNNNNNNNNNNNNNNNNNNNNNNNNNNNNNNNNNNNNNNNNNNNNNNNNNNNNNNNNNNNNNNNNNNNNNNNNNNNNNNNNNNNNNNNNNNNNNNNNNNNNNNNNNNNNNNNNNNNNNNNNNNNNNNNNNNNNNNNNNNNNNNNNNNNNNNNNNNNNNNNNNNNNNNNNNNNNNNNNNNNNNNNNNNNNNNNNNNNNNNNNNNNNNNNNNNNNNNNNNNNNNNNNNNNNNNNNNNNNNNNNNNNNNNNNNNNNNNNNNNNNNNNNNNNNNNNNNNNNNNNNNNNNNNNNNNNNNNNNNNNNNNNNNNNNNNNNNNNNNNNNNNNNNNNNNNNNNNNNNNNNNNNNNNNNNNNNNNNNNNNNNNNNNNNNNNNNNNNNNNNNNNNNNNNNNNNNNNNNNNNNNNNNNNNNNNNNNNNNNNNNNNNNNNNNNNNNNNNNNNNNNNNNNNNNNNNNNNNNNNNNNNNNNNNNNNNNNNNNNNNNNNNNNNNNNNNNNNNNNNNNNNNNNNNNNNNNNNNNNNNNNNNNNNNNNNNNNNNNNNNNNNNNNNNNNNNNNNNNNNNNNNNNNNNNNNNNNNNNNNNNNNNNNNNNNNNNNNNNNNNNNNNNNNNNNNNNNNNNNNNNNNNNNNNNNNNNNNNNNNNNNNNNNNNNNNNNNNNNNNNNNNNNNNNNNNNNNNNNNNNNNNNNNNNNNNNNNNNNNNNNNNNNNNNNNNNNNNNNNNNNNNNNNNNNNNNNNNNNNNNNNNNNNNNNNNNNNNNNNNNNNNNNNNNNNNNNNNNNNNNNNNNNNNNNNNNNNNNNNNNNNNNNNNNNNNNNNNNNNNNNNNNNNNNNNNNNNNNNNNNNNNNNNNNNNNNNNNNNNNNNNNNNNNNNNNNNNNNNNNNNNNNNNNNNNNNNNNNNNNNNNNNNNNNNNNNNNNNNNNNNCGGUAUGCAUUAAUUUGUAUAGCAGAUGCAGUAAUUUUAUUGGUUCUUAUGUUCUCACGAUAAUUAGUGGUUCGUCACUAUAACCCACCCUACUAUAUAUAUAUAUAUAUAUAGUGGUAAAGAGUACUCUAGAUCUGUUUUGUAUUUAUCAUUCCAAAAAGUACAAUAAAUCUAAAUAAAAUAGUAAUUAUCUUUCAUAUUUGGUAUCUAAAUGCUUUAUUUAAACGAACUAUUACAUGUCAUUGUAAAACUAGUAUUAACCUCUUAUAACAUAAAUUAGUUCAAUAUAAUUUGGGUAAUUGGUGUAUAAAUACAUGAACUUUACUCACUUUUUGAUAUUUAUGGUAUUUAACAUGAACUUUAAAUCUUAGGUAUAAAUACAUGAACUUAUUCAUUUUUUGGUAUUUAACAUGAAUUUUAAACUUAUUCAAUUUUUGACUAGUUUUUCAUCUUUCCCAAAUUAAAGCUGACUUGUAAUGCCUGAAUCUUAACGUGGACAAUUGGCAUCUAACGAGCUUGCAGAGGCACCCGAUGAGGAACCCAUCGAUGUUGGCUGUGAAAUCCUCAAACCUUAAUUAACGAAAUUCUGAAUUUGGCUUUCUGAAUGACAAAAUUCGUUUUCUGAAAUCCUCAAAUCUUAAAGACGAAAUUGGCUUUCUUAAUUUGUGAAAUUUGUAGACAAAUUUAUAUCGUUUACUUUUCUAUUUUAGUGUUGGGUUAUUUUCCUCCGACCAAAAACAAAGUCGUCGUAUUUCAGUGCCAAAUUGUCCACGUCAAGAUUCAAGCAUUCAAAGGCAGCUUUAAUUUGAAAAAAAAAAAUGAAAAACGAGUCAAAAUUAAAUAAGUUUAAAGUUCAUGUAUUUAUAACUAAAUUUUAAAGUUCAUGUUAAAUAACAGAAAGCGAUUAAGUUCAUGUAUUUAUGGCUAGCUAGGAUUUAAAGUUUAAGUUAAAUACCAAAAAAUGAGUAGAGUAAAAAAUGAGUAAAGUUCAUGUAUUUAUACACCAAUUACCCAUAUAUUUUUCUAAACUAAUUGAAUUUUUUAAGGGAUAAUUGCAAUUUAGUAUUUUAAAAUAAUUGAUUUAAACUUAUAUAAACAUUAUAAGUUAAAGUCAUAAAAAUAGAAUUCUAUUAACUUAGUGUCUCAUUGAAUAGAACACCAAGAAGACGAAAAAUUACAUGCAAACCUAAAACCUUUGUUGGUAGUCUAGCGGAUUCUAAUAUGAUUAAUAAUGACUAUCACUCGUAAUUCUAAAAUUAAAUUGAGAAAACAAUUAAUAGUAAUUUAAAUGGAUAAAGAAAUCUAAUUAGUGGAACAUCAUUGAUUAUAUUAUCUUAAUUAAUGAAAUUAAAUAUAAUCCUAAAGUAAUGUUAUUUUUUUCCGAAGUAUAAUAUUCCAUCCACCCCCAAAAAUAUUCUAUAAAAACAUUCAUUUUUCUUUUUUGAAUAUUAUCGCUUCACAAACCCCUUACUUUUUAUUCCUAUUUUUCAACUUAUUUACAAUUUUACCAUCGCUCAAAUUCUUUUGAUUUUAUCCUCACAUUAACAUGCUCAAAAUCCUAUUUUGAUUACAUUACUUUAAAUUGAAUAAUACCCCUCCACAGAGAACUGCUAAGAGAUACGAUUUAAGAAAAAAAGUUGGUGUAAAGUGAAAAACUAUUGAGUGUAUUGAAAAUGAUGAAAAUGUGUUUUAAUUAGUAUUGUGAGCGAUAAAAAUAUGAAAAAUUAAGGAUAAUGAGAUAUUUAUAAGUGAUUAAGUAUAGUCCAAAAAUAGAUAAGAAGUUCUUUUGUGAACGUCCCAAAAAUGAUAAGUAGGAAGUUCUCUCGUGGACAGCAGUAGUAUAAGAGAUGUAUGAUAUAGCAUAACAACAAGCACAAGCUAGAAAAGGAAAAAUUGAAUGGUUACCUUGUUGAUUUGGGAAAGCACUCAUGAGAGAUUCUAAAUGUUCAUUCUCCCAGACAUCAUCCAGAACAAUGAAAUAUGAUUUGCCAUCCAAUUCCUUAUGAAGCCUUUGUUUAAGCUCCUCUUGGACAAAUAGUGUAUCCUUCAUCGACUCCUCCAAUUUCUUUAUUUCGUCAAGCAGCUUUCGUUUAUCUUCUUCAGACCUUUGCAGCUGGAAGAUAAGCUGUUUGAUCGUCUCCUGUGGCGUAAAUUCACUCGACACCACAACCCAGCCACGGCUGUCAAAUCGACCCAUGACGUCGCAGUGGUUGUAUACUGCUCGGGCAAGUGUAGAUUUGCCUAUCCCACCCAUACCCUCUAACACCGCAAUCGAAAGCCCCUUCCUCUCCUCAUUAAGAAUUGAUUCUUCUAGCAGUUUUUUCACAUCCUCUUCCACGCCCACCAGGAGUUCGUCGGUUUUCAAAGGAGACAACCGCCGCCGUGAUUCAACUUGCAAUCUCCACCCUGAGUCCGCCGUCGCCUCCUUGCCAAAAUCUUUAAUGCCAUACCUCUCGCGGCUCUUGUCAAUGGCGUCGAUCUUAGCAAGGAUUGAUUCAAUCUCAUCCCCAAUUCUGUUGAGCUGGUACAUACGCUUCGCGAACUUAGUGCAUCGUUCGAGAAGCCCUUACUCUUCGAGUUCUCAACGUUGAUGAGGAACAUCUCGAUGGUAUCUUCGGCAUCCUGAGCCACCUCUCUGAUCUCCGAUAUCCAAUUUUGCACAUUCUUGUCUUCAAAUUGCUUUUUGUUGGCGUCUUCAAGAAAGCAUUGCAUCCUCUGAGCUCGGCUUUCAGGGACUCCACCUUUCCCUCGACGCCUCGUAGGAAUUUCACCUUCUGGAUGAGCUGAUCGCCCAGCAAUUCCACCAAAGAUGAGAUCGCCGCUUCUGCCAUGUUGAUGUCGAUCGAUCUCUUGAUUUCAGAAAAAUGCUCUUUUUAAGUGUUGUUCAAAGUUGGUAAUGGUUUAAGUAAAACAAAAAAGUCAUAUUGGAUAUAUAUGAUAGUGCCGCUAACAGGGUAUGGUUCCAUGGUGAAUGAUAUAUAUUGAGGCAGUGAAGAAUAAUGAAUAAAUCAAUAAAUUUUAUGAAUAAACAAUAUAACCGAUGAACAAAUAAUUACUCCCUCCGUCCGGCUUUUGGUAUCUAGUUGAGAAUGACACGGGUUUUAAUAAAGUGAUUGAUGUGUUGUGAGUGGAAUAAGGGUCCCACAUUUUAUGUGAGAGUUAAAAUAAUUAAAGUGGAGUAAGGGCCCACUACUUUUACAAAAAUAGAAAUGAUACAAAAUGUGGACGCAAAAAAGGAAAUUGGAUACUAAAAGUUGGGACGGAGGGAGUAUAAGUUAAUUGAGUAACAAUAUAACGAUUCAAAUAUUAUUAGUCCAAUAUAUAAGUCAUAACUGAAAAUAAAAUUAUCAAAAUAGCCUUGUGUUGGCCUUUCGUGCACGAGAUACGUGAAUUUCGCCUAUGGAAUUUGCGAAUCCGGUUUAUUUUUAUAAAUUGUUUUAAAAGAUACGCCACGUGGCGAAUCGAGUGCGAAUCCAACGAGAAUCCGAGAGAAUCGCACCCUAAAAGAAUCUGAUUCGUCGUACAUGCUAAUUUUUGAAGAAUCUGUGCAUCAUAGGUUACAUCAGUCAGCAUCUUCAGUCUUCAGUCUUUAGUCCUUCGUUCUUCAGCCUUCAGUUUUCAGAACAACUAAACUAGAAAAAGAACUCUAACACUUGAGUUCGAACAGUUCUAGUCUAUUACAAGUGAAACCUAUUGAUUUUGGUAUCAUCAAAACUAGGAUUAGGAUAUUUCAUUAAGUUCUCAACAAUUUUCUCCUUUUUGAUGAUGCCAAAACCACACAACAGUUCUAAGCAAGAAAAAGACUGAACUCAAAGUACAAGUUAUUAAACAGGGUGAAUACUAUUCCCCCUUAACAAUAAAACCUAAAACUUGCACUUUGAAAGAAGAACACAACAGUUCAAAGAAACUGAACGAAGACAAAACUGAAAAACAUUAAUCAGAGUCUGGAUAAAAAGUUAUUAUCUUCAGGUUGAGAUAAAAAAAAGAAGUUCUUUUCAUAAACGUAACUGAUGAGAAAUCAGUUGAGGUUAUAGAGCAAAGCAUACAAGGGAGUAAGAAAAACAAAAACCCAUGGACUCCAGCAGUCUGCUUGUCUGCGCCUUGAACUUCUUUGAUCUUCAUCUUCAUCUUCAUGUUUCUAAGCUUGUUACUUUCACACUUAUUUUUCAUUGACUUGAGGUCUUACUGGAACGUCAUGCUUAAAACUUCUGGUGAUCCUUUUGCUUUACCAUCUUCAGUCUUUCGAGAAGAUGCAGAGAACCACCUUUGAGAAGGUUUUUCUCUGACUUCUACUUUCCCCAUUUUUGGCAACAUCAAAAAGAGAGCUGAUGAUGGAAGUUAUGAUCAGAUGGUACCCAACUCCUAGUCUCAGAAACUCGUGAGAGGAUUCUAGAAUAGGAUGAGUCUAGAGAUGCAGAAGAGGAAGACGCCAGUGGGGAGGGGGAUGAGAAAGGAGACGGAGAAGUGAAGGAAACGGAGAGGUGAAAGAAGCUGCCUUAGAGGGAGGAGGAGAGGCUUAUGAAGAAGAGAGAGGGGACUAGGUUGGAGAAAGAGGGAGAGUGCGAGAGAGGGGUAUGAGAAGGAAAAAUCGAAUCAGUGACAGUCGUGAGGACUGACACUGUCGAUUUCCCGAAACGAGGUAUUUGAAGAAAGGACCAUGUGCGGCUGGGGGUGCCAACAGACAACAAGAGAGAGCUCGUUGUUGUUUCAUGCCAUGGAGGUGAGCAAGAUAAGUGAAAUGAGCUUGAUAACCUCCUGAAGCUUAGAGACUUCUUGGCGCCAAGCAUUAGGAUGGAAGACACUCGUGUCGCUGGAUAUAAGUGAGGGUAGAAACAAGCUUGACGUCGGAGAGACGUUGAGAUCCAGUGAAAGGGUACUGUGAAGAUCAAUUGUGUGAGCGUCAUUCUCCCACUCCAUGACUUCGUUGUCAUUGAACUCUCCUUGGUCGGAACGAAAUUCUUCUGCAACUUUAAAAGUAUGAAAUUCUCACAGAGAAGGUUGUGGAAAGGUGUUAGUUGAUGAAGAAAACAAUUAAUGACAUCGAGGCAUAUAUAGACUAUAUUACCAAGACAGAAGAUGAAAAGUUUUUCGAAAAAGGUGCCUAAAAUUUUUUUGAAGAAAAAUUUCACGUCCGCCGUCACUGUAGAGGACGGAAGCUUCAAAAGGUAAGAAAAAUCAUUGCAUUUUGUCAAAUCAAUGAGAUUUUCAAGAUUUUCAUUACAGAGGCAAAAAGGUUGGAAAUAUUUUGAGUAAAGGAUCAGGACAAGUUAAAGUAAUUUUUAAAUCCUCUUAAAAGUACUUGUCCUUCACGGAUAUUUCAUUUUCCAACAACCAGUUAAAGUUUUUGAAACAAACUGAUCAGUUAGAGAAAGAUUUUUGAAGACUAUCAAAGACUCAUAACUGAAAUAACUGAUUUUCACAGGGUAAGUUGAAGAUACUUACUGAUCGACUGAUCAUUGUAGUCAGUCGAUACCACUGUUUCUGGUUGACUUAUAAGAAUAAGUUCCCCUUCAGAUGUAGACUCAUCUUCUUUGAUUGCCACGUCAGCAGUUGAGGAGCACCAGUUGGCUGAGCAACAGUCAUCGUGACUGUAGUUGAGAUCUUCAAAAACAGCAUCAUUCUUCAGAAUUGAUGAGGCCGAUCCUUCCACAAAGAUCGUUGAACCUAUCUCAGGAAGAGCUUUGGUCAGCAAGUUUGCUCUCUGAACUGCGGUCGGAAUCCAUUCAAUAGAGACAUUCUUCUUUUCCGCGUGAUCACGAAUGAAGUGAUGUCGGAUUGCAAUAUGCUUGACUCUUGUGUGAUGAAUUGGAUUCUGUGAGAUUGCAAUAGCAUUGGAGCUGUCGCAAUAAAUUGAGACUUCCUUUUCUUCUAUCCCAUAGUCCUUUAGUUGUUGGACUAGACAUAGGAGUUAUGAACAACAGUUUCCCGCAGCAACAUAUUCAGCUUCAGUUGUGGAAGUGCCGACUGAAGUCUGUUUCUUUGAAAACCAAGAGAUAAGUUUGUUGCCUAGGAAUUGACAAGUUCUCGAAGUUGAUUUGCGACCAAUUUUGCAUCCUGCAAAAUCAGAGUCUGAGUAUCCGGAGAGCUUGAAGUCGUCGUCUGCUGGAUACCACAAUCCUAAGUUGGGUGUGCCUUAGAGAUAUCACAGAAUUCGUUUUGCUGCAUCCAUAUGAGCUUCCUUUGGAUCUGACUGAUAUCUUGCACAAACCCCGACUACAUACAUAAUAUCUAGUCUGCUAGAAGUUAAAUACAGUAAUUACCCAAUGAUUUCUCAGUAUUUGGUUGAAGAUACAGAUUUUUCUUCCGAUCCUGGAUCUACAUUCCAGUUUGUGUUCAUUGGAAUCUUGACUGAUUUCAUGUGUUGAAUAUCGAAAUUGGCGAUCAGUUCCUUGGCAUACUUCGACUGAUUAAUCAGUAUUCCUUCGUUGGUCUGCUUAACUUGUAAUCCAAGAAAAAAAUUCAUUUCUCCCAUCAUGGACAUCUGAAACUUCUUAGUCAUAAUGUCAGCAAACUUCUUGCACAUCCGUUCGGAUUUGGAUCCGAAGAUUAUGUCAUCGACAUAAAUUUGAACAAGUAGGAGAUCUUCUCCUUNGCCACAUUUGGGUCCGAUCGGACUAUUUUGCACGUUAUACGUGCGUGACUUCACAGUUGGAGUCCGAAUGGUAAUGUGGAAUUUUAAUUCAUUCUUUUAUUUGGCAAAUUUAUAUAUAUGUAAAACUAAAUAAUAAAAUAUUCCAUAAUUAAAAGACAGAAAUAAAAAAAUGAAUUAAAAAAAUAUAUUAAAAAUACGCAAAUAAUUGCUUUUUCUCGAUGACACAUUGUAUGGUCGAAAUUAAAUUGUAGAAAUGUAUAUGUUCGUUAAGAUAUCCUAAUGCACCGUAUAAAAAAAUAUAAUACAUAAUACAUAUUUUCCUCAAGAUAACAAUAAUUAUUUAUAUAUUUAUAAAAAGACAUCUUAUACUAUAUAAUAGGAAAACAUAAUAGGAAGUUUAAACCAUAUACUUCGUAAGCAAUAAGCUACUUGGUUUGGUCCACUCUUCUCUUUCAACAAGGAGACCUUCACUAUUAACAACUAGCUAAUUUGUGGCUUCAUACUCACUCCGUCCACAAAAAAUAGUCGUCAUAGAAGAGGACGACACGGGUUUUAAUGAAAAUGGUUGAGUUUAUUGUGAGUGGAGAAAUAGUCCCACUAAAAAGAUAGUAUUGAUAAUAAUAAUUAAAUGUAUUGUGAAUGGGGAUAAGGGGCCCACCAUGUGAUAGAAAGUUGUCAAAAGUGAAAAGAGACUAAUUUUUGUGGAAGUCCCAAAAUUGCAAAAAGAGACUAUUUUUUGUGGACUGAGGGAGUAUAACGAAUUAUAACUAAUUAUACAUCGUUAUGGCCUUGAUGUGCCCCCACAGAUUCUUCGCAUCCAGAUUCUCGCAUUUAUGGAUCCGGAGAUGUUUGAGGUGCGGCAUUCCACCUUCUUCUAUAUCGAUACUUCUCAACUCAGACAUGUUCCGGAGGGAGAGGCCCUCGAGGCGGGGGAACCCGUCACGCAACACUUUCAUGCUCCGAUGCUCGUAAGCAUAUUCAGAUAACUUGAGAUACUGCAGCUUCGGCAGCUUACCCAAUUCCGGCAUCGGAUCCUUAAUUAGCUUUGCAUACUCCAACGUAAGGUGAGUAAGAUUUGGAGGGAAUUUACUCGCAUCCGGACAUCCAUGCAUCUUACCGUGUAGUUUGAGUUUUGUGAUGCUGCCGAGCUGGGGAAUGAUGUUUGAGUUGAACGACAAUGAGUUGCAUUUUAGGUGUAGUUCCACAAGAUUCGUCAUCUUCUCCAACGAUGCUCUCGCCAUGCUCAAAUCCUUAUUUCCUUCCAUUCCAUUCAUAUGUAUUCCCAAUUCGCGAACACGACAACUUGCCAUUAGUUUUGAGCUGCAUUCUAGCCAAUCCUUUAGCCUCAUGCCUUUCACACUCUCAAUAUUUUUCCAAUUCUCGAUGCUCAUUGGUUUGCCCAAGACGCUGUAUAGUGGAAGUGACGAGUUUUUCCAUUUCCAGUGCAACAUUCGGGAACACUAUCACCUCUUCUCUACGUCAAGCACCUCGAGGUUUUUCAAGUCCUUCAACCAGCUUGGGAGCUUCAAUACGUAACGCAAGAAAUACCGUUGUCUAUGUAUUCUCAAGUACUUCAAUCCAAUCAAUAGCCGAAAAGAGUCGGGCAAUCUCUGAAACGCAAAGCCGUCAAGGUCGAGCAUCUUAAGGAGUUGAAAGCUCUUCCAGUAGUCAGAUGGAGUAGUCAUAUAAACAUUUCCAUCACCAUUGAGAUUAAAUAGGAAAAGAGAGCGAAGAUGCUUAUUCUGAUUUGUCGAGCGAUUCUCAAUAUUUUUGCCAUAGACAACACGAUGACGAGGUUUAUACGAGGAUUGUGAUGAAAAACCCUCCUCCCCCUUUACAAUCUCCAAGCCUAUUUCCUCCUUUGCUUUUCUUAAACAUACCUCGCGAAGAAGAUCAUGGAGGCGACAAGUCCCUACCCGAUUAUCAAUGGUUAGAUCCUCAACUUGAAGCAUGCUUCGAUUGAUCAACUCAUUUAAAUAACCUCUUGCUAUCUCAUUUGUUGUUCUGGUUCCUUCCUGUUGGAUCAAGCCUAGUCCAACCCAUAUAUUUAUCAGCCUUUUUGCCGGUAUAGUAAAGUCUUCCUUGAAAAAAGCUAGACACAAGAAGCAUGAUUUUAGUUGCGGAGACAAAUUGUGAUAACUCAACUCCAAAAUUGUUGGUACGCUGCUUUCAGUCCUUCCUAAAUAAGAGUUAAUUUGGUUAAGAACUUGUUCCCACCCACUCUUGCUUUGUGUUUCCACAAGUAGGCCUCUUACCACACUAAUAGCUAAUGGUAGACCACGACAUCUUUCCACGAUUUGUCUGCCUAUGGUCUCAAACUCUUCUGGAUAUUUUCCAUUAGCAUUUCUAAUGAAUGCAUUCUUCAAGAGCAAUUCCCAGCUCUUCUCGCGAUCGAGAAGCUUCAUCGUGUGCACAUAUUGAUCAUACUUUGUAAUAAUCUUGUUGCGAGUUGUAACCAAUAAUCUACUCCUUUUAUCUGUGAGAGAAGAGGUAAUUAAGUAUAAGAACAUGAGUUGAGAGAUGAGUGAUUCAUAUUCGUUCACCAAGAACAUGAAUGCCACUUGAAGAAUCAAUCCUGUAUAUAUAUAUAAAUUCUACUAAGUGCUUGUUUGGUCCAAGUAGAUGAAUGGAAAGGGAAUAUGUACAAGUAAAGGGAGAGAAUGAUAACAAUAACUAUUGUUUUUAUUGAGUGUUUGGUUUAACAAUGGAAAUGAAUCAUUAAUAAGAGGAUUCACUUUCUUUUAUUUCCCCUAUAUCUUGAGGGGUAACAAAUUGUAUGACUGGAUUACCCUGAAGUAAUGGUAAUAGUUAACUCAUUACCCAAGCCCAACAAUGGAUUCAAUUUUCAACUUCCAAAAACACCCAACCAAACAUGGGCUAAGUAUAUUUUACAUCUCAUGUUGUUAAUGAAAAAAUUAUUUAUCAUUUUCAAGUUUUUUUAAUAAAGUAUUUGGUCAUUUUUUAAAAAAAUAUAUGAUCAUACACUAAAACUAAAGAACAACCUAUAUAUUAGAGCUUGCUUGUUUGCCAGUAUGAGAUAUAAGCUUGAUAUGUUUAGUUAAAAUUUCUUAUAUAUUGUAUAAGGUAUUAAUAUUAUGUUUGGUUUAGAUGUAUUAAAUUAUUUGUUUUAUAAAUUAAUUAUAGCAGGAGAGUGAAAUUUUGAUAAUUUAAUAUUAAUUUAUAGUAGGAUGAUGAAAUUAUGGUAGUUUAAAAUAUUAAAUAAUAUAUUUAGGAUUUAUAUUACGUAUCCCGCCUAGAAGAUUGUUUACAGAAUCUCAAGAAUCUAUACAAUACAUAUAAGGCCCUAGCUUUAUAAAUGCCUCAUGUUUUGAAGCAAACAUGAUACUCCCUUUACCCCGCUAAAAAUAACUCGUUUCUUUUUUAUACAGAGAUUAAGGAAAAUGUGUAAAUUGGAUAAAGUUGAUACAUAAUUAGGCUAAUUAUUUUGAAUUUCGAUAUUUUUGGGCCACAUUUAAGCCCAAUUCGACGUCUACAUGCUACAUUUAGAGCUAUAUUUGGACUAAAGUAUAUCUGGACCCAAAUGUGAGUCUAUUUAAAACAAUUGAUUAUUUUUACAAGUCUAAAAAAAUUGGCUGCCCCUAAAAUAAGUACCUAAAAAAAAUUAAAACUCACCAUAAUUCUACCAUAAAAAUAGGCCUCUUUCUAACAUUUCAUAAAAUCAAUCCACCAACAAGCACAAAUUAGGAAAGGAAAAAAUAGAGUGGUCACCUUGUUGAUUUGGGAAAGCACUCAUGAGAGAUUCUAAAAUGUUCCUUCUCCCAAACAUCAUCCAGAACAAUGAAAUAUGACAUGCCAUCCAAUUGCUUAUGAAGCAUUUGCUUAAGCUCCUCUUGGACAAAUGGUUUAUCCUUCAUCAACUCCUCCAAAUUCUUCAUUUUCUUAAGCAGCUUGUUUUUGACUUGAUCAGAUCUUUGCAUCUGGAAGAUCAGCUGUUUGAUCGUCUCCCGUGGCGUAAAUUCGCUCGACACCACGACCCAGCCACGGCUGUCGAAUCUACCCACGACGUCGCAGUGGUUGUAUAUUGCUCGGGCAAGUGUAGAUUUUCCUAUCCCACCCAUCCCCUCUAACACCGCAAUCGAAAGCCCCUUCCUGUCCUCAUUAAGAAUUGAUUCUUCUAGCAAUUUUUGCACAUCCUCUUCGACGCCCACCAGGUGUUCGUCGUUUUUCAUAUGAGACAACCGCCGCCGCGAUUCAGCUUGCAAUCUCCACCCCGAGUCUGCCGUCGCCUCCUUGCCAAAAUCUGUAAUGCCAUACCUCUCGCGGCUCUUGUCAAUGGCGUCGAGCCUAGCACGGAUUGAUUCAAUCUCAUCCCCAAUUCUGUCGAGCCGGUACAUACGCUUCGCGAAGCUAGUGCAUCGCUUGAGAAGCCCCUUGCUCGAGUUCUCAACGUUGAUGAGGAACAUCUCGAUGGUAUCUUCGGCAUCCUGAGCCACCUCUCUGAUCUCCGAUAUCCAAUUAUGCACCCUCUUGUCUUCAAAUUGCUUUUUGUUGGCGUCAUCUAGAAAGGAUUGCAUCCUCUUGAGCUCGGCUUUCAGCGACUCCACCUUUCCCUCGACGCCUCGUAGGAAUUUCACCUUCUGGAUGAGCUGAUCGCCCAGCAGUUCCACCAGAGAUGAGAUCGCCGCUUCUGCCAUGUUGUUGUCGUUCGAUCUCUUGAUUUCAGAAAAUUGCUCUUUACUGGUUUAAGUGAAACAUAUAAGUCAGAUUGGAUAUAUGUGAUAGUGCCACUAAUGGGGGCGAGGUUGCAUACAGAAUGCUAUAUAUUCAGAGAACGGAUAAUAACCAAUAAAUCAAUAAAUUAAAUGAAUAAACCAAUAUAAUUGAAGAACAAACUUAUGUAUCUAUUUAAUAUUGUGAAAAUCUCGCCCGGAGGAGUAUUCGAUGGCACACGAAAAUGCCUGUUCAUAUGGAAUGUUGAUUUAUUCGGAGAAAUUAUUGACUUAUUGAUACACAUUCUCCAUUCUAUAUAGCAUUCUCUCGCCACUGACAUUGCGCAAAUAUUUAUGAAAAUCGAAAAUCGAACCGAACCCCCUCACCCCACAUAAAAAAAUGAUUUGAUUAUCGAUUUAAAAAAAAUUCUAUUUUGUCGUAUUUCGAUCUAUUGGGUAUUUCUCUGACUGAAUCAAAUCGAAAUAACCGAAUGAGCACAUUUUAUUUUUCAAAUAAUACUCCCUCCAUCCCUUAUAAAUAUGCAUAGUUGAUCAGGGCACGAGUUUUAAUAAAAAGUUUGUUAAAGUAUUGAUAGUGGAGAAAUGUUAUCACAUAGAGGGUAUUGUUAAAUUGAUUGUGGGUAAAUAAUUUAAGUUAAAAAGGUAAAAUUGUAAAAUAUUAUGUGUGGGGUAGUGUCCAAUACUAGAGUAUGCAUAAAUUUGAACCAAAAAUUAAAGUUAUGCAUAAAUAAGACGGAGGGAAUACUUAUUUCAAAUUAUAAUAGACAAGUCCUAUUAUUUUUUUGUAUUAUGUUUUUUUUAUUAUUAUUAUAGAUCUUGGGCUUGUUGAAGAUCACUUAUUUUGUUACACUAGUAGAUUUUGAAAAUGAUUAAAAUCAAUUUUUUUUUUAUCAUAAAAAAAUAAAAAAUUCGGAAAUUUUUAAAUAAUUAUACUGGUUUGGUUACUGAAAAAUUUCAGUUUGCUUCAAUUAUUUUCUCGUAAUUUCGGUUAUCAAGCCAAAAUCAAACCGAUAACCGAAUACUCAAUCCUAAUUACCACUCUAUCAUUAUCCAACUACUUCCUUCGUCCCACUGCAAUAGGCUCAGUCUUAAUAUAGAAAUGUUUAGGGCUUUAUUAAGUAACAAUAAUGGAGUACUAUUUAGUUUUUUCAUAAGGGAGUACUCUUAAAAUGUUACUUUUUGGUGGACCACACCACAUUUAACUACCAAAAAGUGAAUUUCUUAAUCUCCGUGCCGAAAACAAAUGAGCCUAUUGGCCUGGGACGGAGGGAGUAGUAUUUAUUGUUUUUUUUUAUAUACAACAUGUUGGGGAUAAUGAUUAGAAAGGAUUGAGCGGUGGAGUGAGGGGACUAGUAGAUUUUUGAAAAUUAAUAAAAAUGGUUUGUUUUGGUGAUGGAUAUGAGUUGAUAUAUACAACAUGUGGAUAAGGAGAAUCUUUGUGCAUACUGCGCAUCGGGCUAGAGUAUGGGCUCUGCGAAUAAAGACAACUCAGUUUCAAUCACGGAAUGAUGAAAAUGGAAUUAUUUAAUGUUUUAUUUAUUCAUUAAUUUCAAGAGAUACAUAUCUUGAAUUUUGGAAACGUCGAAACAAAAUGAAAAUCAUACAGGGUGUAAAGUAAGUAAUAUGCCAAAAAAGUCACCAUUUUUUGGAGAGGGACCUGAGCUUAAUUAUUGAGGUCAGUGGUCCACAAAGAUAAAGUAGAAUCAUUUUUUUUAAAUUUCCAUCUAUCCAUAUAUAUAGACACUUACAUCAGAUAUCAGUAGUACUUAGAAUUACUAGAACUCCACAAGCUUUUUAGGACCAUUUCUUUGACAGUUUUUUAAAUUUAUGACAUUUUUUUUUGGACUUGGACAAAUUUUCAAAAAUUAGGCAUAAGUGGGACAAAUUAAGCCUGAUCGCCGAAUUUUUGAUAUUUUGUCCUGCAACUGUAAGCUCAAAAAUAUUUGUCCUACAUUUGCAAUACAGACAAAGUUACGGUCCUAAAAAAACUUUAGGCUCAAUUAAAAUUUAAUUCAUCAUAUUUUAUUUUCUUGCUCAAUGUAUUAUGUUCAUGUUUCAAAGUUUUUUAUUUCCCUUAAAUAUAUUUUCUACUAUUUUAUAUAAAUAUGAUAGAAAAUAUAAUUUGAAGUAAUUUGUCUAUAAUGUAAACUCAAAAAAUAAAAAAACUAUAUAAAAAAUAAUUUUAUACCUUUUAAAAUAAUUUAUAUUAAUACUCCAUCAGUCCACAAAAAAUAGUACGCCCUUUGAAUAUGAGAACAUUCACACAGAAGAUAUUAAGAUUAUGAGUAGUUUGUUGUUAUUAACAUUAUGCUAAAGUUAUAUAUUAUUAAAGAGAUAGCUUAAAAGCAAAAAAUUAAUCAUAAUUUGCCUUAUAUAUUAUAUACUCCGUAUUAUUUACUAAUUUGUUAAGUUUAGGAACUAUAAGAAAAGAAUGUAAAUAAUUCACCUUAAUUUGCCUCAUUGUAUAUGUUAAAUAUUCAUUAUUAGAAUAUUGAAAACAACAUUCCGAUGACAAAUUGUUGUAUUAUUCAUAUUUGGAUAUUGUGUUGCACAAUAUGAUGAACAAUUUGCGAAACCUAAUUGAAAGGCAAAACAUGAAAUGAGAAUUUUAUGCAUAACCAAUAAUAUGAAUACGCUUAUCUUAGGCUGGUUUACAAAAAUAGGUCAAUUUUUUUUUUAACUUGCCGAAAUUUACCAAUUAUUUUAAAAUUUGACCCAAAUGUGACUUAUAAACGCCAAAUUGGGCCCAAAUACAGCCCAAGAACACCGAAAUUUAAAAUAAUUGACCUAAUUUUACAAGCAAAAAAAAGGCAUAUUUUGUACAAACGGGGUGUAAUCGAACCGAGCCGAACCGAAUAGUGGUGUGCUCAAGUUUGGUUUGUUUUGUAUCGAAUUGAAUCCCGAACUUUACUUACCGAAUACUUUGAGGCUCAUGAGGGGCUCACGAGCCUGAUCGAGCCUAUACGAACUUUCUAAAUUUAUAUUUAUAUUCACAAUAUUGAUUAUUUAUAUUAAAAUAAAUUAUUAUAUUCAAAAUAAUAAAAUAUAUUAAUUAUUUUCUUAUAACAAACAAAAUUAAUUAGAGAUUUAAUACAAUUAUUAUUAAUUUUAGUGGAUAAACAUAAGUUGUAUCUACUAAUAAUUUAUAUUUUUCAAUAUGAAUCACUUGANGGAUAUUUUCCAUUAGUAUUUCUGAUGAAUGCAUUCUUCCAGAGCAAUUCCCAGCUCUUCUCGCGAUCUAGAAGUUCCAUCGUGUGCACAUAUUGAUCAUACUUUGUAAUAAUCUUGUUGCGAGUCGUAACCAAUAAUCUACUCAUUUUAUCUGUGAGAGAAGAGGGUAAUUAAGUAUAAGAAUAUGAGUUGAGAGAUUCGGUAUUGAGAUUCGUUAACUCUUACAAUGAACAUGAAUGUUGCUUGAUAGAAUCAAUCGUAUAUAUAAAUUCUACUAAGUAUAUUUUGCAUUUCAUGUUAUUUAUGCAACAAUAUUUAUCAUUUUCAAGUUCUUUUAAUCAAGUAUUGGGUCAUUUGCAAUUUCUAAACUAAUUGAAUUUUUAAAGGGAUAAUUGCAAUUUAGUAUUUUGAAAUAAUUGAUCUAAACUUAUAUAAACAUUAUGAGAUAUGAAAAUAGAAUUCUAUUAACUUAGUGUCUCGUUAAAUAGAACACCAAGAAGAAGAAAAUUACAAGCGAACCUAAAGCCUUUGUUGGUAGUCUUGCGGAUUCUAAUAUAAUUAAUAAUGAUUAUAACUGGUAAUUCUAAAAUUAAAUUGAGAAUACAAUUAAUUAAUAGUAAUUUAAAUGGAGGAAGAACUCUAAUAUCACAACAUUGAUUAUAUUAUUUUAAUGAAAUUAAAUAUAUAAUCCUAAAAUAAUGUGAAUUUUUUUCAGAGGUAUAAUAUUCCAUCCAUCCUCCGAACACAUUCACAAUUUUCUGUUUUAGCACAUUUUACGAAAAUAUUUAUUUUCCACUUUUGAAUACUAUCGCACCACAGGUCCCUUGUUGUAUAUAUGCCUAUUGUUUCAACAUAUUUACAAUUUUACUACAUGGCUCCCUACAAAUUCUUUAUUUUUUAUUCUCAUUUUCUCAACUUAUUCACAACUUUGCCACAUGGCCCGUCACAAACUCCUUAUUUUUAUAUUCCUUAUAUUACUCUUAAAUUCAAUAAUAUAAAAGAUGUACUCUCCUUCGUCUCACAAAAACAUGAACAUUUGAAAGUGGCACGGAUUUUAAAAAAUAUUAGAUAAAAGUGUAUUAUGAAUGGAAAAGGGGUCCCAUCUAUGAAAAGUAGAAAUAAAAAGUAAAGAAAUUAUGAUGGAGGUAGUGUAUUUUCAUGUUUUUGUGAAACGACCAAAAAUGGCAAAAUAUUCAUGUUUUUGUGGACGGAGUGAGUAUGAUAUAUCAGAACACCAAGCACAAGGUACAAAAGGAAAAAUUGAAUGGUUACCUUGUUGAUUUGGGAAUGCACUCAUGAGAUAUUCUAAAUGUUGUUUCUCCCAAACAUCAUCGAGAACAAUGAAAUAUGAUUUGCCAUCCAAUUGCUUAUGAAGCAUUUGUUUAAGCUCCUCUUGGACAAAUAGUUUAUCCUUCAUCGACUCCUCCAAUUUCGUCAUUUCGUCAAGCAGAUCCUUUUUGUCUUGAUCAGACCUUCGCAGCUGGAAGAUGAGCUGUUUGAUCGUCUCUUGUGGUGUAAAUUCACUCGACACUGCAACCCAGCCACGGCUGUCGAAUCUACCCACGAUGUCGCGGUGGUUGUAUAUUGCCCGGGCAAGUGUAGAUUUGCCUAUCCCACCCAUCCCCUCUAACACGGCAAUCGAAAGCCCCUUCCUCUCCUCAUUAAGAAUUGAUUCUUCCAGCAGUUUUUUUACGUCAUCUUCCACGCCCACCAGGUGUUCGUCGUUUUUCAUAUGAGACAACCGCCGCCGCGAUUCAGCUUGCAAUCUUCCUACAUUUACAAAAUUGUCAAAGUUAUGGGCCUAAAAAAGGAAUAGAGGAAAGAAAAUUUUUAAAAAAUUUAAUGUUUAAAUAAAUAUAACUUUUACAUUUUGAAUCAAAUAUUUACAUAAAAUAUAUCAAAUUAAAGCUCUUAUCAUGAUCUUUAAUUUGAUAUGCAUAUUAAAUAUUUUUUAAUAGUCGAAUUUCACAUUUAAAAAGAAACAAAACACAAAAAUAAAACAUAAUAAAGGAUAUAAAAAGAAAAAAUACUUUUAGAAAUAAGGAAUAUAUUUUAGGCCAGUAACUUUGGCCGUUUUGCAAAUGUAGGAUAAUAUUUUUGGGCUUGCAAUUGCAGGACAAAUUGUUUUUUCAGGCUCAAUUUAUCCUACUUAUGUCGAAUUUUUGAAAUUUUUUACUACAAUUGUAAGUCCAAAAAAUUUUGUCCUACAUUUGCAAAAUGGCCAAAGUUACUGUCUUUUCUCAGGGAUUCGUUCACUCUUACAAAGAACAUGAAUACUAAGUAUAUUUUGCAUUUCAAGUUAUGUAUGCAACAAUAUUUAUCAUUUUCAAGUUUUUUUAAUCAAGUAUUGGGUCAUUUAAAAAAAAUUAUAUGAUCAUACACUAAAACUAAAGAAUUAAGGGAAAAUUGUAUGAAAAUACCCCACUUUAAUCCAAAUUUGAUUUUUUGACAAUCUUUUUUUUUUGUUGCAAAAAUUUGAACGAGCUUUCAAUUUGUUGUAAUGUCCGUCCGGAGAUAUCUUCCAUGCAAUUUUUGGUUGCAAUGUCUAUCAUAUCACUACAUAGAUGCAAUGAAAUGAAAGCCUUACAGGAAGNCAUAACCUUUAAAAUUUGAAAAAAAAAUACACAACCUUUCGAUUUUUUCUGAUUUUCGUCACGGGCAUAAAACACUCUCAAAUAGAAGUUGAUUUUAGAGCUUUUGACUUAUAUUUUUUGAUACAUAAGCGUGGGGGAUAAUAAAGGUGCCAUAAUAAAGCCGACGUACACGCUUAGGUAUCAAAAAAACUAAAUCAAAAGCCCAAAAAUCAGUUUCUAUUUGAGAGUAUUUUAUGUCCGUGGGAAAAAUCAGAAAAAAUCGAAAGGUUGUGUAUUUUUUUUCAAAUUUUAAGGGCUAUGGGAAAAAUCAGAUAUUAUUGAAAGUUCGUGUAUUUUACGGUAAAUAUCCCUUCUAUAAAAACAUUCAUUUUUCUUUUUUGAAUAUUAUCGCUUCACAAACCCCAUACUUUUUAUUCCUAUUUUCUCAACUUAUUUACAAUUUUACCAUAUCGCUCACAACAAAUUCUUUAUUUUCGAUCCUCACAACUUUAUUACAUGGCUCGACACAAACUCCUUAUUUUUUUAUUCCUUACAUUACUCUUAAAUUGAAUAAUACUCCCCCAUCCACGAGAGAACUUGCUGACACGGAGUGAUACGGAUUUUAAGGAAAAAGUUGUUGAGUGUAUUGAGAGUGGAGAAAAAGUUAUUGAGUGUAUUGAGAAUGAUGAAAAUGUAUUUUAAUUAGUAUUGUGAGCGGUAAAAACAUGAAAAAUUAAGGAUAAUGAGAUAUUUAUAAGUGAUUAAGUAUAGUCCAAAAAUAGAUAAGAAGUUCUUUUGUGAACGUCCCAAAAAGGAUAAGUAGGAAGUUCUCUCGUGGACGGCGGUAGUAUAAGAGAUGUAUGAUAUAGCAUAACAACAAGCACAAGCUAGAAAAGGAAAAAUUGAAUGGUUACCUUGUUGAUUUGGGAAAGCACUCAUGAGAGAUUCUAAAUGUUCCUUCUCCCAGACAUCAUCCAGAACAAUGAAAUAUGAUUUGCCAUCCAAUUCCUUAUGAAGCAUUUGUUUAAGCUCCUCUUGGACAAACAGUGUAUCCUUCAUCGACUCCUCCAGUUUCUUUAUUUCGUCAAGCAGCUUCUGUUUGUCUUGAUGAGACCUUUGCAGCUGGAAGAUAAGCUGUUUGAUCGUCUCCUGUGGUGUAAAUUCACUCGACACCACAACCCAGCCACGGCUGUCAAAUCGACCCAAGACGUCGCAGUGGUUGUAUACUGCUCGGGCAAGUGUAGAUUUGCCUAUCCCACCCAUACCCUCUAACACCGCAAUCGAAAGCCCCUUCCUCUCCUCAUUAAGAAUUGAUUCUUCUAGCAGUUUUUUCACAUCCUCUUCCACGCCCACCAGGUGUUCGUCGGUUUUCAAAGGAGACAACCGCCGCCGUGAUUCAACUUGCAAUCUCCACCCUGAGUCCGCCGUCGCCUCCUUGCCAAAAUCUUUAAUGCCAUACCUCUCGCGGCUCUUGUCAAUGGCGUCGAUCUUAGCAAGGAUUGAUUCAAUCUCAUCCCCAAUUCUGUUGAGCUGGUACAUACGCUUCGCGAACUUAGUGCAUCGUUCGAGAAGCCCCUUACUCUUCGAGUUCUCAACGUUGAUGAGGAACAUCUCGAUGGUAUCUUCGGCAUCCUGAGCCACCUCUCUGAUCUCCGAUAUCCAAUUUUGCACAUUCUUGUCUUCAAAUUGCUUUUUGUUGGCGUCUUCCAGAAAGCAUUGCAUCCUCUUGAGCUCGGCUUUCAGGGACUCCACCUUUCCCUCGACGCCUCGUAGGAAUUUCACCUUCUGGAUGAGCUGAUCGCCCAGCAAUUCCACCAAAGAUGAGAUCGCCGCUUCUGCCAUGUUGAUGUCGAUCGAUCUCUUGAUUUCAGAAAAAUGCUCUUUUAAGUGUUGUUCAAAGUUGGUAAUGGUUUAAGUAAAAAAAAAAAAGUCAUAUUGGAUAUAUAUGAUAGUGCCGCUAACAGGGUAUGGUUCCAUGGAGAAUGAUAUAUAUUGAGACAGUGAAGAAUAAUGAAUAAAUCAAUAAAUUUUAUGAAUAAACAAUAUAACCGAUGAACAAAUAAAAUGUAUCUAUUUAAUAUGGUAAAAAUCUCACAUGCAUUCAUCAUUCUCUAAAUAUAUAACAUUUUUCAUGUGGAAUCUUUUUCGCCACUAACAUAAAAUAUUUAUAAAAAAAAGAAUUGUUUGAUUAACCAUUAAAACAAAAUCAACGUUUCGAUUUUCUGUCAAUUUGGUAUUUCUAUGACGGAAUCGAAUCGAAAUAACCGAAUUAGCACAUUUUGUUUUUUAAAUAAUAUUUAUUUCAAAUAAAGUUCCUACUAUUUUUUGUAUUAUGUUAUUAUUAUUGUAGAUCUAGGGCUUGUUGAACAUCACUUAUUUUGUUAGACUAGUAGGUAUUGAAAAUGAUUAAAAUUAAUUUAUUUUUUUGCAUAAAAAAAUAAAGAUUCGGAAAAUUUAAGUAACUUAUUAUUGUGGUUUGGUUAACCAAAAUUUCAAUUUGUUUCAAUUUUUUUCUCAUAAUUUCGGUUAUCAAGCCAACAUAGAACGGGAUAACCGAAUACUCAAUCUGAAUUACCACUCAAUUAUUACCUAAUUAAUAUUAGAUUUUUUUUAAUAUUAAAUUUCAAAAAUGGCUUGUUUUGGUGAUGGUGAUGAGUCAUGAGUUGAUAUAACAUGUCGGGCAUAAUGAGAGUCUCUGUGCAUAGUGCGCAUGAUGGAGUAUGGGCCCUGCCCCUGCGAAUAAAGAUCACUUGGUUUCAAUCACCGAAUGAAAAAUGGGAUGUGUUGAUGUUUUAUUUAUUCAUUAAUUUCAAGACAUACAUAUCUUAUAUCAUGGAGACGUCAAAAGAAAAUGAAAAUGCAUUGUCUGAAAAAUGAAAAUCAUACAGGGUGUAAAGUAAGUAAUAUGCCAAAAUAGUCACCAUUUUUUGGAGAGGGACAUGAGCUUAAUUAUUGAGGUCAGUGGUCCACAAAGAUAAAGUAGAUUCAUUUUUGAAAUUUCCAUCUAUCCAUAUACAAAAACACUUACACCAGAUAUUAGGUUUGGUGCAGAUGAUUAAGGUGUAUAACAUACGUAUGACAUUCUAAUAUUUUAUUUGUUAAGAAAUAAUACGACAUACAUGACCGUUUAUAAAUCAAAUGUCCGAAAAUAUUUAUACAUCACAAUUCGUUUUUCCCUAAAAGAAGUUCAUCAAUUAAACCAACGAUCAAGGGGAUUCCAAAAUCUUAUGGCAUUAGAAUUCUAUUUAAUUUAUUGCAUAUUUUAUUUUAAGGUUAUUUUACAGUAUUAUAAUUUAUUUAAUUUAUAUUAUUUAUUUUAAGGUUAUUUACAGUAUUAUAUAUUUAUAAGAAUAUAUNAAUUUAAGGAUAAUUGUGUUAUUUAAAACUAUAAAAUCUAUAAAAAUAUUAUACAUUAUUAUCACUAUUAUGUACUUGUCUUUUAAUAGAAAAUAGCCUAAAAUGGAUGGAAUGCCCAAAAAAAUUUGUUUGCCAUUAUUACUAUGCUUGUCUUUUAUUAUUAUUAUUCAUUCUAGCUUGUAAUUUAUUGAAAAUAUAUAAUUUAUGAAAAUAUUGUUCGUUAUUAUUGCUAUUAUGCUUGUCUACUAAUAAAAAAUGCCUAAAAUGUACGAAAUAACAAAAAAAAAAGUUUGUAAUGUAUUGAAAUUAAUUUGUAAUAUAUUGAAACUAUAUAGUAUAUGAAAAUGUUGUUCUUUAUAAUUACUAUUAUGCUCGUUUUUAAUAAAAAAUGCUUUAAAAAUACAGAAUGUCCCAAAUAUUUUUGUAAUGUAUUGAAACUAAUUUGUUAUAUAUUUAAAUUAUAUAAUCUAUGAAAAUGUUGUUCUUUAUAUUACAGUGGUGAAAAAGUGUUAUACUAAUUAAUAUUGAGAGUUGUGAAAAGUAAAAAGUAAGAGGAUUAUAAGUGGUGGGGUAUAGUCCAAAAAUAGGUAGGAAGUUCUUUUGUGGACGUCCCAAAAAGGCAAGAUAGGAAGUUCUUUCGUGGACGGAGGGAGUAUAUGUUGAUGUUUUAUUUAUUCAUUAAUUUCAAGACAUACAUAUAUCAUGGAGACGUGAAAAGAAAAUGAAAAUGCAUUGUCUGAAAAAUGAAAAUCAUACAGGGUGUAAAGUUAGUAAUAUGCCAAAAUAGUCAACAUUUUUUGGAGAGGGACAUGAGCUUAAUUAUUGAGGUCAGUGGUCCACAAAGAUAAAGUAGAUUCAUUUUUGAAAUUUCCAUCUAUCCAUAUACGAAAACACUUACAUCAGAUAUUAGCAGUGGCUAGUUUGGUGUUUGGUGCAGAUGAUUAAGGUGUAUAAUAUACGUAUGGCAUUCUAAUAUUUUAUUUGUUAAAAAGUAAUACGAAAUACACGACCAUUUAUAAAAUAAAUGUCCAAAAAUAUUAUAUUGAUUUGAGGGAUUCUGUAUAUCACGUAUGGAGGUGGUAUACAUAUAUAAUAUAAUAAUAAUUAUAACUAUUAUUAACUUUAUAUACUAUUAAUAUAUUAUACCAAACAACAUAUUAUAUUUUACAACUAUUUAAAUGCAUUUUACCAAAUAUGAUAUUAAUAUGACACAUAUAGUAAAAGAUACCCCGAUCAAACAUAUAACGCCUUAUCUCAUACCGCGUACGAAAUGAGCCCUAGUAGUACGAUUAGUAGUACUAGGAACCCAAAGUUUUUUUAGGCCUCGUAACUUUGGUUAUUUUGCAUAUGUAGGACAAAUUUUUUCGGGCUUGCAAUUGCAGGACAAAUUCAGUCAUGUAAUUGCAAGCCCGAAAAAAUUUGUCCUACAUUUACAAAACAACUCAAUUAAAAUUUAAUUCAUCAUCUUGGUGUGCAUUCAUAGGAUAGGCGCUUCCCUAUGCAAACUAGGUAUUCUUCAUUGUUGGAUUCAAGAAAAGACAAUGCAAGAGAGCGAGGUUAUAUUAUGUUCACGUUUUAAAGUUCUUUAUCUCCCUUAAAUAUAUUUCCAACUAUUUUAUAUAAAUAUGAUAAAAAAAAACAAUUCAAAAUAAUUUGUCUAAAAUGUAAAUAAAAAAAGAAAAAAGAAAUUAUGUUUUUUUUCAUGUGAUGGUAGCAUCUGAAACUAGCAAUUUGUCUAAAAUGUACAUUACUUUUAUUAUUAGGAGUCAAUUAUAUGUGAAUGCAAUUGCGCAUAGUGCAAAAUAGGGGAAGAAAAAAAGUUUCUAAUAUAUAUGGAGAGAGGUUAUACAUUCAUUGAGUUGGGUUCAAAAUACGUACCCAAUAGAUCAAAAUCUAUGCUAUAUUAAAAAGUCAAAAUUAACUCAAAUUGAUUUCAAAAUUGAGUGGUAAUUUUAUAGUUAUAAUAAAAUUGAAAGUUUAUUUAUAAACUAGUAUAUUUUUUCUUUUAAUUUAUCUUUUUUUAUUAUUUUAUUUGUUUCUAAAAUUGUGUAAUUCGACGUCUAAUUAUAAAUUAUUUAUAUGCAUAUCAAAUUAAUGAUCACAAUAGGAGCUUUAAUUUGAUAUAUUUUAUAUAAAUAUUUGAUUUAAAAUGUAAAAAUCAUGUUUAUUUAAAGAUUAUGGUGCGUUUACUUUGAUGGAUAAAUUUAUUAUGUGAAAAUGAAGAAUAACAAAAAUUUAUGCCUUUAAAUGCCUCCUUUAUUUUCCCACAUUUUAUACACAAAAGAAGUUCACCAUUUUUUCUUCAACAAAAAAAUGCUACUCCUUCCACCCCCAAAUAACUUCCUAAUUUUUCUUUUUGGUUGGUCUCCUAAAAAAAUUUCCUUUAUAUUUUUGGACUAUAACCCACCACUAAUAAUACCACACUUACCCUUACUUUUUCACAUUUUCACCACCUACGAAGUUAUUUGGGCUCGAGGAAGUAGGGAGUACAAUUUUUCAUAUAUAAUAUUGCUAUUAUAUAUCUAGAUAAUGCUAUUUUAACAUAAACAUAAUGUUUUUUUGUAAUAGAAACUGGUGGAGUUUAUAAAUUUUUGUGAGAGAAGAUGGUUUCUUUUUUUGGAACAAGCCAUUAUCAAUGAGACAGACGAAAAAGGAAAGUGAGCCUUUAUCAAUGAGAAUUGAGGGGAGUGGUAUAUUUUAAAUAGCCAAAAUGAAGUUCGUGCUAAUAGUAUUUCAAUAUUGAUUAGUAUAUUGCUAAGAAAUGUUACUUGGAAAAUUUAUAUAACAAUAUAACGAGUUCAAAAUUUUGUAGGCCACUAACAUAGGGCGCUUUGCAAAAUUAGGCCAUAGUUUUUCGGGCUUGCAAAUUUGGGCCAUUUAUUAUUAAUUUCGGCGUAAGUGAGCCACAUUUGGGCCCGAUCGGACUAUUUUGCACAUUAUACGUGCGUGACUUCACAGUUGGAGUCCGAAUGCUAAUGUGGAAUUUUAAUUCAUUCUUUUAUUUGGCAAAUUUAUAUAUAUGUAAAAAUAAAUAAUAAAAUAAUCCAUAAUUAAAAGACAGAAAUAAAAAAUGAAUUAAAAAAAUAUAUUAAAAAUACACAAAUAAUUGCUUUUUCUCGACGACACACGUAUGGUCGAAAUUAAAUUGCAGAAAUAUAUAUGUUCGUCAAGAUAUCCUAAUGCACCGUAUAAAAAAAUAUAAUACAUAAUACAUAUUUUCCUCAAGAUAACAAUAAUUAUUUAUAUAUUUAUAAAAAGACAGCUUAUACUAUAUAAUAGGAAGCACAAAGAAAAGAUUCAUGACCAAUCACAUUAAAUAGUAGGCCAUAUCGAUGUGAAGCUUAAACCAUAUGCUUUGUAAGCAAUAAGCUACUUGGUUUGGUCCACUCUUCUCUUUCAACAAGGAGACAUUCACUAUUAACAACUAGCUAAUUUGUGGCUCUAAUACCAUGAAUAAAUGUAAAAUAUCAUACUCACUCCGUCCACAAAAAAAUAGUCAUAGAAGAGGACGACACGGGUUUUAAUGAAAAUGGUUGAGUUUAAUUAUUGUGAGUGGAGAAAUAGUCCCACUAAAACAAUAGUAUUGAUAAUGAUAAUUAAAUGUAUUGUGAAUGGGGAUAAGGGCCCACCAUGUGAUAGAAAGUUGUCAAAAGUGAAAAGAGACUAAUUUUUGCGGAAGUCCCAAAAUGGCAAAAAGAGACUAUUUUUUGUGGACGGAUGGAGUAUAACGAAUUAUAACUAAUUAUACAUCCUUAUGGCCUUGAUGUGCCCCCACAGAUUCUUCGCAUCCAGAUUCUCGCAUUUAUGGAUCCGGAGAAGUUUGAGGUGCGGCAUUCCACCUUCUUCUAUAUCGAUACUUCUCAACUCAGACAUGUUCCGGAGGGAGAGGCCCUCGAGGCGGGGGAACCCGUCACGCAACACUUUCAUGCUCCGAUGCUCGUAAGCAUAUUCAGAUAACAUGAGAUACUGCAGCUUCGGCAGCUUACCCAAUUCCGGCAUCGGAUCCUUAAUUAGCUUUGCAUACUCCAACGUAAGGUGAGUAAGAUUUGGAGGGAAUUUACUCGCAUCCGGACAUCCAUGCAUCUUACCGUGUAGUUUGAGUUUUGUGAUGCUGCCGAGCUGGGGAAUGAUGUUUGAGUUGAACAACAAUGAGUUGCAUUUUAGGUGUAGUUCCACAAGAUUCGUCAUCUUCUCCAACGAUGCUCUCGCCAUGCUCAAAUCCUUAUUUCCUUCCAUUCCAUUCAUAUGUAUGCCCAAUUCGCGAACACGGCAACUUGCCAUUAGUUUUGAGCUGCAUUCUAGCCAAUCCUUU
rnacentral:lncRNA from 1 species